UCACCAGACUCCUACGGGAGGCAGCAGUGGGGAAUAUUGCACAAUGGGGGAAACCCUGAUGCAGCAACGCCGCGUGAGUGAAGAAGUAUUUCGGUAUGUAAAGCUCUAUCAGCAGGGAAGAGAAUGACGGUACCUGACUAAGAAGCCCCGGCUAACUACGUGCCAGCAGCCGCGGUAAUACGUAGGGGGCAAGCGUUAUCCGGAUUCACUGGGUGUAAAGGGAGCGUAGACGGCGACGCAAGUCUGGAGUGAAAGCCCGGGGCUCAACCCCGGGACUGCAUUUGGAACUGCGUGGCUUGAGUGUCGGAGAGGCAGGCGGAAUUCCUAGUGUAGCGGUGAAAUGCGUAGAUAUUAGGAGGAACACCAGUGGCGAAGGCGGCCUGCUGGACGAUGACUGACGUUGAGGCUCGAAAGCGUGGGGAGCAAACAGGAUUAGAUACCCUCGUACA
rnacentral:rRNA from 1 species